AUACUGCAGUCGAGGGGCAGCACAGGUAGCAAUACUGGGUGGCGACCGGCAAACGGGUGCGGAACACGUACGCAACCUUCCUUCAAGCGGGGAAUAGCCCAGAGAAAUUUGGAUUAAUACCCCAUAAGAAUGUGACCUGGCAUCAGGUAGCAUUUAAAGAUUUAUCACUUGGAGAUGGGCGUGCGUCUGAUUAGGUAGUUGGUGAGGUAACGGCUCACCAAGCCGACGAUCAGUAACUGGCGUGAGAGCGCGACCAGUCACACGGGCACUGAGACACGGGCCCGACUCCUACGGGAGGCAGCAGUAAGGAAUAUUGGUCAAUGGACGGAAGUCUGAACCAGCCAUGCCGCGUGGAGGAUGAAGGCCCUCUGGGUUGUAAACUUCUUUUAUUUGGGACGAAACACUUCUUUUCUAAGAAGCUUGACGGUACCAGAUGAAUAAGCACCGGCUAACUCCGUGCCAGCAGCCGCGGUAAUACGGAGGGUGCAAGCGUUAUCCGGAUUCACUGGGUUUAAAGGGUGCGUAGGCGGACAUGUAAGUCCGUGGUGAAAUCUCUAAGCUUAACUUGGAAACUGCCAUGGAUACUAUAUGUCUUGAAUGUUGUGGAGGUUAGCGGAAUAUGUCAUGUAGCGGUGAAAUGCAUAGAUAUGACAUAGAACACCAAUUGCGAAGGCAGCUGGCUACACAAAUAUUGACGCUGAGGCACGAAAGCGUGGGGAUCAAACAGGAUUAGAUACCCUGGUAGUCCACGCCCCUAAACGAUGAUUACUCGACAUACGCGAUACACAGUGUGUGUCUGAGCGAAAGCAUUAAGUAAUCCACCUGGGAAGUACGACCGCAAGGUUGAACC
rnacentral:rRNA from 1 species